rnacentral:ncRNA from 1 species
UGUAAAGCGUUGAUAGGGAGGAGUAGUUGAUUGUGAAGCCUCACAGAGAGUCGGUGGUUGCUGGAAACCGAUGGUUCACGUCGACGAACAUCGCCCUUGAGUGCUAAGCUGAAGCGUUUGUCUAGGCUUAGACGGUAGCUCCGUUAUUAGCUAGACUCAUCCCCUGAGUCACUGAGGCAAGAAGUAUUCUUGCAAAGAAGGGUGGUACCGCGAAAUCUUUCGUCCCUUCA